AUGCGUUUGGCGUCAACAAAUACUCCAUUUUACAAAACCGAAGUAUCUCCAAAACCAUGGUUUUUUCAUAGUAUUAGAAAAAGAGGUCCGGACCCCUUUUUUAAAAACCGAGAAACGAUCGUUCUCGUCGGUCUCUCAACUCCAUCUUUCCAGCCGUCAACCAGUGUGAUUAUACUUCAUUUCUCUGUAGCUAUGAAUAAACAAUUCAAGCUCAGCACAUGGGAAGGAAGGUACGCGCCCUUGUACGCCUACUCUGUCGUUGAUCUCGUAAAUUUCUCUACACAACGCUGCAUGCAUACAUCAGCUGUGAGCACAAGCUGGUUAGAUCGUGUAGCUGAGUUCGGUUCAGCUCGACAUCUUCAGUGUUAUCCAUGCAACCUAACAACUGGUGACAAUUGGAGAUAA
rnacentral:rRNA from 1 species